rnacentral:rRNA from 1 species
ACACGACUACAUUAGAUACCCGUGUAGUCCUAGCCGUAAACGAUACUCGCUAGGUGUCGGCCACGGUGCGACCGUUGUCGGUGCCGUAGGGAAGCCGUGAAGCGAGCCACCUGGGAAGUACGGCCGCAAGGCUGAAACUUAAAGGAAUUGGCGGGGAGCACCACAACGCGUGGAGCCUGCGGUUUAAUUGGAUUCAACGCCGGAGAUCUCACCAGGGGCGACAGCAGUAUGAUGGCCAGGUUGAUGGCCUUGCUUGACAAGCUG